CAAACCCACGCGACCACUACGGAGUAAUGACAGCAGCUUUCUGCUCUGAAAGAUUUAUUUCGGGUUUCUUUCUCUCUCUUGUGUUGCUAUUCAACUCUCAGGGAGGAUGAGAAAGUGUUGUGAUUUCAAGGAAGUGGAGUCCUUAAGGUCCCUGAAAGAUUUCACAGCCCUGGAAACCUCACACACGGAGGAGACUCAGUUAUAUCAUCUCUUUCGAACAACUGAAACUAUCAAGUGCUAGGUGCUAAUGAACAUCAAACAAUUACAAAGGCAGUGGAAUUUAAGAAGUUUCAAAGCCCAGCUAGCCCUUAAUCUGAAGAGCAUCUCUGCUCCACCGAAACUAUCGUGCAAAGAAUGAAAUGAAGUCGGGGCAGAAAUGCACAGCACAGAUGGGUUGCGUUCAAAUAAGUAACUUGGGCAGUAAAGCUUGUUGCUUCCUUUAAAUUAAGCUACAGGUAUAAAUAUACACAGAGGUAAAAGAUGGACCGCAUUAAAAAGGUCUCAUUGUGCAUUGCAUGUAAAUAUGGGGGGGUGCUCUGCGGAUAACAAUUGUGUAUUUAUCUCUCUGAAUGCUGAAUAAGUGAUCAUAUGAUAUUUAGAUAUGCAGCGGAAGAGAGAAAACAUCCUUUAUUUUUAGUAUUAAUAAAAGUUUACCGCUCGUUGAAUUACUUUGGUUGCCUCUCACUGCUAAAGGCUAGCCACAGCAGCGCAGCCAGAUGUUGAAGAAGGAUGCUGAACAUCUCGUGCUGUGCCUCCUUUCUCGCUUCUAGAGUGAAGGAAUUAGAGGCACUCAGCUACGUUAGAGCACUUACCUGUUCACAGCUGUCACUGCAUUUUGUGCUGUGCCACUCAUCUAAUACAGGCAUGGAAAACAGUGUCCAACAUACAAAGCAACCCGUGUCUCUGGGUUGUUGUGCCACCUCCUAGAGAAGAUGAGCAAACCUAGGACUUAUAGAGUUUUUGGUAUAGUCUAAAGUUUGUAUACAAAGGACAAGCAAUUCUACAUUAGAAGUCAUUUACCAAGCAAUAAAAGCCCUCUUAUUAAUGCAGGACAAUUAGUAGCAUGCUUAUAAAUUCACUGGUGACACACUCCGACAAGGACGACUUUUUAUAGGUUGUAAAAAAAAAAAAAAAGGAUUCAAAGAGUUCAAACUUGCGUGAGAAAGAGGUAAAGGAAAAGGAGUUAAAAACUUAUCCGACAGGGAGAAAAGUUUUGUUAAACUGGUACCAAAAUGACUACAUGUUUCUCUAUAGGCAAACCCAUCAGAUGAUUUAACAGCACCCUUGGUGAUAUUCUUAAAAAAAAAAAAACGGGAGGGGGGGAACAAAUUACAUUUUAGCAAGGGCCCAAUUGAAAACAAAACUCUUGAGUUUCUUAAGGCGUCAUUUACUAACAAUGUAUUGUCCUUUUGGCGGAAGCAGAUCAAAGGAACAUUUUAAUUUCAUUUGAAACUGUGCAUCAUCCUGACAGACAAGCAAAGAAGCCGCAGGAACAACAACCCCCCUAAACCGGCAAACCACAUAAACUUUUACAAAGAAAAUACAAGCAAGUUUGACAUGAAACCCCUUCCUGUCUCGGAAAGUUCAUUUUAAAGGUCUCCUCUGUAAAUCUAAAGUGCAAACACUAGGCUAAGGUAGUGAGUGGCUGGAAUUUGCAUGCUGAUAAGAGAAGGCUGUUGUACUUACAGUGACAGAGGGCAGGCUGCGGAAGAAAAGCUGUUUGUGUUAGCCUGAGAGUCACCCAGGGCUGCAAUGAGAGGAGAGGAGAGGAGUGGGAGUGCCAAGCUGGAUACACCUUCACCGCAUCUCAUCACAUCUGCCAGCCUCUUUCUCCCUCUCUCUUUCAUUUCCACAUUCCCUUUGUUCCUGGGGAAAAAAAUCUACACGUCACAUCAGAGUCCCCAGAUGCAGUCUACACCAAAAGAAAAAAAUGAAUAAUUCAAUCAAACUGUGCAUAGUCUCUAAGGCAAUAAAUCUAUUGCACUUAAAGAAACGAAGGGUAAUUACCGCUAUGGAAUGAGAAUCAGGCCAAAGAGCGGAGGGAUCCCAGGGUCUGUAAACUCCACGGUCAAAUAAAGUUGCAUUUACUUAAUCCUUUGACAUCUCCAAUGUAAACUAAGGGGGAGGAUCUGAACUUAUUCCGGAUGGGUUUGAAAAUGCUUGGAGUGAGGGUCACAAAAGCAGAGAGAGUGAUCAGUGAGAAUACAAUGCAAUGGAGUAAAGUGCUGCCGUGGAUCCCCUCCAGGUCCAUUCCCCCCUAGUGAACAGCGGAUCACACUCCCAUUUUCACCGGCUGCUGCUGCGCUCCACAAAUGCAACAUGGAUCAUUUGCAGUGAAUGGCAGCAGCCUUACCUGCGUCUAGAGCUCAAAGAAAAGCUUACAAAAAGUCAUUGUGAUCGGCAAUUUGUUCCAAGCUCGGGCUAAAACCAGCUGUAAGGGAUUUGCACCAACAGCGAUUGACUAGAAACGCUGUGACUGACUUCUGGAUUUGUCCUGGGCUGAGUUUAGGGAAUGUCUGACAGGGAGGGAGGGAGGGAAAACACGCUCGAGAUCGGAUCCAAGUUAGUCAGAAGAAGGCAGUGCUGGUAAGAAAGCCCUGCGACAGACCGACCUAGGAUGGGAUGGAGGAUAACUACAUUUGUUCCCUUAACUCUCCUCUAAACUUGCCCUUUCGUCUCGGAGGUAAGAUGACUCUAUAUUGUGUUUAUUCUCUCCAUGCAAUUCAGGUCCAGAGACACGUUCCAGUGUAAACAGGACAGCAAUUUAGGAAUGUUUCUCCUUCCUGUCGUUACUGCUAACAUCUAGUUAGAGUUUAAAAUCCUGAUCUGUUGCUUGACAAGUUCUUUGUAAACUACUCACGUCAAAACAGGUGAGAUUAAGAUUGAUGGACGGACCUCGCCCCUCGUUCUGAACUUUCAGAAGUGCCCAGGGUCGGCGGCAUUAAAAUGCUGUCCAUUUAUACGUAAGACUUGCAGCUUUUAUACUUUAUACCGUUUUUAAUAGGCAGGUUUGAUUUAUCCAAAACAUUAAUGGAACUGUUACUCCAAUAAAGGUGACCACACUUGCCAGUCUCUCGGCUGGCCUGGGCUUUGUUUAUGUGCUUAAAACGCCACCCUGAGGUCAGCGCAAAUAAGGCAGGCAAGGCAAAAGCCUGCCAAGGAGCUUUCGGAUUAGCACUUUGCAAAGCAAAACAAACACUAUCAGUAGCAUCGGGAAAGUCAGCGAAGAAUCUCGUCUUGGCAACCCCAGUUCUAACGGCUCUGCGAAUGAAUUUGGGAUAAGGGGAGGAUCAAGCAGGAUCUUCCCUCACUUUCAGCCACAGUGAUGGGCUCGGGAAAACACAUGCAGAGGGAUUUAUAUAAAUUGAGGAGGUGAAGUGGGGACAGAAGUACUGGAAACGCAUCCACGACUUCGCUUCCCAACCAUCUGCUCCCAAAUCCUGCUUCGCUUCUGCACCUUUUGUACUGUGGACCACACCAACGGUGGUUUCCAUGGUAGAAACCAGCGCCUGAUAGGCAGAACAUCUCUUUACCCAUCUUUACAAAGCAACCUGGGGGAUGGGGCGGGGGUUAUACAGCGCCACUCACUCAAGGAAGUUUCCCUUCACAUCCUCAGAGCACCUGCCUCAGAGCAUCUCUGACUGACUGCCCCACCAGUCUCCCCAGACUCUAGGCAAACUCAGGGCAAGUGCACUGCCCAGGUUUCCCUGGAGUGUUUUGCCUUUUAAUUUGUCUCUCGAUUUGGAGGCGGGGCUGAGUGUGGUUUAUAAUCUUUGCUGAAUGGUUUGAAUGAAAGAGGAAUUAUGGAAACAUGUUGCUGUGACCUAUAAACACUUCCUAGGGUCCAGGCUUGGCUUAGGUCGAGGGCAAUAAUUACCACAUUGGAUUUGCCUAUUUUCACUGGCCAGACAUAAGAAAGUUAUCACAACAAAACAAGGUCAUGGAACAGGUCUUGUUCUACCUGGAAGCUAUGGAAAUACGUUAUGGCGUCGUGUAAACUGCCAGCCCUGCUUUUACUAAGUUUACAUCCAGAUGAAGAAAAAAAAUACACGGUGACUUUUAGAAGCUGAGACCUACCGUAGCUGGUGGUCUCCUUUUGGGGUCUGAUGUCCUUUCUAAACCACAGCAAAGCAUUCGUGAUAUCGAGUCACUCUCAACUGGAAGAACAGUAACUUCCCUGGCAAAUGUACAGUCAUCAAACUUUUCACUGCAGUCUGGACUAGUGCAAUAGAGUCUCCUGAAAAUGAAUCUUGAGAAGGGUGGUAAGAAACUCAGCUAACUGAAAGAAGAAUUCAAACUUCAUUUAAUUAGAGUGAUUAGAAUCAACAGUACCAAUGAAUUCUUGAUACAUAGCAGGUACAGAAACAGAGGGACUAACUAAUGUGAUUUCUGAAGAAGCAAAAAUAUCAGCUAAAAAGAAGCUGUAUACUCCCACUCUGACUAGUUCAGCUACUAGAUUUGUCUGAGCCCUUCUUCUUGGUAAAAACUAAUUUGUAACUUCCAUUUGUAUACCCCUCUGAAACUAUGGGUGAAAUACCUUAACAGAUACAAAAAUGUACCUUGAGAGAAAAUAUUUAACAUUUCUAUUCCAGUAGACUUUCAAGGCCAUGUAUAAGAGACUCACAACCAUCAUUAAACCAUAUUUUGUCAUGCUUCUGCAGCAUACACCUGUGUGGCCUGUUCUACUAUAUGAUAUUCCCACGUUUAAAGAUAGUUCUGUACUUAUGUUGACUUUGUUAAAAUGAUAUUAUUUAAUAAAGAAAGGCAAAAAGAAAUACUACCUCAUUUAAACACACACCAAUACUGAAAGGGCUGGGAGGGAAGACAGGAUUAAAGCACCCUUUAGCAGGUACUGAGUAACCCACUGUUCCCAUAUUUCAUAUUAUAGCCCAGUGAGCUAAGUGUCAAUCACCUGGUGUAAACAUGACCGUUACUGAAUAUUUUUCCCCAAACUUCAAUUACUAAAAAGCCUGUGUUAAAUAGGACUAUUCUGAUCCACUAUGAAAAUUCCAAGUGUUUAUCAGUUCACAGAGUUCCUUAUUUCUUAGUGGCAAUGCCCUAAUCUAAUGUUGCACAUUAGGAUGCAAUAUGAAGCACGUAGUAGAGCACUUAUAUACUGUCUAUAAGAUACACCUAUGCUUCACCCCAUUGGUGUUUGUUUGUUUUGUGCAUCAAAAGAGAACAAAGCAUGUUUUAAAGAGACUGCUAUAAUCACAAAAGCAUGAAUAAUUGCUUAUAUAAAGAGAGAAAGAAGCUCAAAGGAAAGAACAAAUACACACAGCUAUCUUUGAAUUGAGGGCAUGCCCACAUUGUAAAUACAGGCACUGCCACUAAGUCCCAUAUGUAUGACAAAUGAUAGGAGGAAACGUGAUUGUCAGGUAUAGGACAAUGGUUCUGUAUCCCAUACUAUUCAUAACAACACCUUGCACUUACAUAUUACAUUGAUUUCAAGAUGCACUCGUGGAUUUGCUUCAGUAUGGGCCUGAUCCUGUUAGGCCCAUGUCAUUGUCAAUUAUUUCAGUGGGAGUUUAGCCUGAGUUAAGAACUGAUGGUGCAGGCUCUGUGUACUUAGGAAGGGUAUUUUUUAUUAGCAGGGUUAGAAAUAUUGAAGUAGUUGACUAGAUAUACAAAAAAGAUCAUGCAGUGGGGAACAAAAACAAGACAUUAAGUUUUACUAAGCAGAUGAGUUUUGUAUGAGAUUUGUAAGUGAAUAUUGCAAGGCUGUUACCUUUCCUUUUUCACUUCUAAGAACAUUAUUUUAUUUUUUAUUUUUUACCACAGUCUGUUUCUGGAACUUUUUGAGGCAAAUAAAAUUGGGUCUAUCUAUUGAUAAGUGGCUAAAUUGUGUAAAUAGUUUUCUAAACAUUAGGUAGAAACUGCUGAAAGUAUUCAAUCUAUUUUAACAUUCAAAGAUUGAUAACUUUUCUUAUUGGCUAGUACCAAGUCAGGGCCUGAUCCUGCAGUCCUUACUCAAUUCAACCUCAUGUUGACUGCUUUAGGACUUUUGCUGAGAGUAAGCACUGCAGGAUUUGGCUCAUAGUGUUUUAUUUCUUACCUGUGUCAAUGAUUGGCAAGUGACAUGCACAAGUAAUAUGCUGUAGAAAUAUAAAGCACACUUCGUUUAUUACCAGUGCAAGUUAGAAUCCAUAAAAUUGUGUUAUGACAGCAAAACUUCUGUGUAAAUCUUUACAAUCUAUAGCUAUAAACUAACUUGAAACAAGUGAUCUUAAAUUGGUACUACACUUCUGAUUUAAGUAAAACAUUCACUGACUUCAGUGUGAAUAUUGCUUGAAUAGCAGAGUGCAUAGUCAAGCCCUUUCUACUCAAGUGACAUCCAAACAGGCUCCAGAUUAAUACAACCACAUGAUCAUACUGAAGAUGUGUAUUUAAUAUGCAAAAAUCAUGCAAUUUAGAAAAAGUUAACUUCUUAAUAUUUAAAUAAUAGAAUAAAGGAUUUAAUGUAGACAUCUUUUUAAAGGCUUGUUUAUUAUUCUGUCAUUAUGGGCCAGAUUCUGCAGACAUUUAUACAAGUAACUUAACCUACAUGAGCCUUCCCCCAGUGAAGCAAAGCUACUCACAUGCACAAGUAUUUGCAGGACUGGGACCUAUGACUGCACAGAUAAAACUAAAUGUGCUUUAUUUACUCCAAAAUAGAGCAAUGUUGCAUAUAGUAAAUUGUGAUAGUUGUUUUGGGAUAUUACACUGAAAGGUUUUUUUAAAAGCUAGUACAUAGUUUCUCCUUAUUUUGAUGGAAUAAUGUUUUUGACUAUAAUAUGUAGCAGGGUUAAAACAAAAAAUGUUUACAUAAAAAUAAGAAUUCAGUUGCAAACUGCUAAAGUAUAUUCUCUUGUAAUUUGCCUUUUGAUAAAGUAGAGGAAGCAUAGUUUUAAAUUGAGCAUUAAGUAAAUAAAUGUCAACCCUGUUCACUGGUAUUAGCAUACUUGAAAUUGUAGUUUAUAAAUGUUUGAGAGCAUCAGCAUCAUGAUAUGGUUGUCAUAGAAACAGCAACAAUAUUUCAUUUAAAUUAAUUUUCCAUGCAGUGAUGAUAACGUCUAUGUCUACAUCAGUUCUAUAAAACAAGUUCCAAAAGUAGACUGAAGAGCAAGGAAUAAGAAACAUAA